UGCAAAUGAUGUUUAUCUCACGAUGGUCUUCCAAGCCUGCAAGGUAUUGACGACACCGCCUUAUGGCUAUACUGAUGCAAUUAA
rnacentral:snoRNA from 1 species